GGGGGAUAAAUUAAUAAAGUAUAAAUUAAUAAAAAAAUUUUUAAUAUUAAAUAAUUUUAAUGGGGGUUAAAGUAUAUUUAAUAGAAAAAAUAAUAAAAAUUUAUAGAAAAUUAGUAUUGUAAAAGAAAUUUGAAAUAUAUUGAAAAUAAAUUUAUAUAAAAGUAAAUUUAAUUUAUUGUAUCUUGUGUAUCAGAGUUUAUUAAUAAUUAUUUUUAUAUAAAAAUAUUCUCGAAUUUAAAAGAGAUAAUUAAUUAUUAAAGUUAAUGUUGAAUAAUUAUUUUAAAUAAUUAAUUUGAAAUGAAAUGUUAAUCGUUUUUAAAUAUAUCUAGUUUUUUUAGAAAAAAAUUUAAUUUUAAAUUUUAAAAGAAAAAUAUAAUUUUUAUUAAUAAAAAUUAUAUUUUUAAAAUUAAAUAUUUUAAGGGAUAAGCUUUAAAAUAAAUUUUUAUAAUAAAUUUUAAUAAUAAUUGAAAUUUUUAAAAUUUAUAUUGUUUAAAAAUUAUAAUUUUUUAUAAAUAAUUUCAAUUUAAUUAAAAUUUAAAAUUUAUUUAAUUUUUUAUUAAAAAAUAUUUUAUAAUAAUUUAAAUUUAGAUAUAAUGAUAAAAUUAGUAUAUAAUUUUAUUAAAUAAAAAUAAUUUAUUAUUUAAUAAUUUAAAAAAAGGAAUUCGGCAAAAAUUUAUAUUCACUUGUUUAUCAAAAACAUGUCUUUUUGAUUAAUAAUUUAAAGUCUAAUCUGCCCACUGAUAAUUUAUUAAAGGGCUGCAGUAUUUUGACUGUACAAAGGUAGCAUAAUCAAUAGUCUCUUAAUUGGUGACUUGUAUGAAAGAUUUAAUGAGAUAUAUACUGUCUCUUUUUAAUUUAUAAAAUUUAAUUUUUUAGUUAAAAAGCUAAAAUAAAUUUAAAAGACGAGAAGACCCUAUAGAGUUUUAUAUUUAAAUAAAUUGAAAUUAUUUAUAAAAUUUAAAAUUUUAAUUUAUAAUAAAUAUUUUAUUGGGGUGAUAAAAAAAUUAAAAGAACUUUUUUUAUAAAUUUACAUUAAUAAAUGAAUAAAGGAUCCGUAAUUUACGAUUAAAAGAAAAAAUUACCUUAGGGAUAACAGCGUAAUUUUUUUUUUUAGUUCAAAUAAGAAAAAAAGUUUGCGACCUCGAUGUUGGAUUAAGAUAAAAUUUAAAUGCAAAAGUUUAAAAUUUUUGAUCUGUUCGAUCAUUAAAAUCUUACAUGAUCUGAGUUCAAACCGGUGUAAGCCAGGUUGGUUUCUAUCUUUAGAUUAAUAAAAUAUUUUAGUACGAAAGGAUUAAAUAUUUAAAAUAAUUUUAUAUGUAAAGAAUUUUAAUAAUAGUUUAAUAUAUAAAUAUAA
rnacentral:rRNA from 1 species